GUCCACGCCCUAAACGAUGUCAACUAGUUGUCGGAGAAGCAAUUCUUUGGUAACGCAGCUAACGCGUGAAGUUGACCGCCUGGGGAGUACGGUCGCAAGAUUAAACUCAAAGGAAUUGACGGGACCCGCACAAGCGGUGGAUGAUGUGGAUUAAUUCGAUGCAACGCGAAAACCUUACCUACCCUUGACAUGUCCAGAACCCUGAUGAAAGUUGGGGUGCCCGAAAGGGAAUUGGAACACAGGUGCUGCAUGGCUGUCGU
rnacentral:rRNA from 1 species